rnacentral:rRNA from 1 species
ACUCCUACGGGAGGCAGCAGUGGGGAAUAUUGCACAAUGGGGGAAACCCUGAUGCAGCCAUGCCGCGUGUGUGAAGAAGGCCUUCGGGUUGUAAAGCACUUUCAGCGAGGAGGAAAGGUUGAUGCCUAAUACGCAUCAGCUGUGACGUUACUCGCAGAAGAAGCACCGGCUAACUCCGUGCCAGCAGCCGCGGUAAUACA